UUUUCUGUUUCUAAUUACAUCAUAAUCCAUUAAAGUACUUGAGAAAACAUGUUAUUUUUCUGAUUUCUCUUUAACUUAAUUGAACACCUUCAUUGGAGUAGGUGCUCAAAAUAUAAUUUGAUUGGAUAACAAUGGACGAUGGACAUCAUCACCUUAAAGGUAAAAUUUAAGAUGCCUUGACAGAGAUUAAGAAGCGUGGAAGGAAUUCCAGAAGUUCUCUUGUUUAUCUUCUUCUUCCCCUUUCUCUCUCUACCUACUCACCAUCCAAUGUCACCAAAUUUCUUUAGACGUUAGAUAAAUCUGACCUUUUUCUAGCAGAUUCUCUGGAUAUCUUUGCAGGAAUUGACAUGAGAAUCUAGUGUUAAAGAUCUCUAAAUAAAAUGUUCUCAUGGUAAGUUCAGCUCCAGGAUUUAAACACCGUAGUUCUCAGAAAUGUCUAGCUUCAUCUUUUCUUCUGUGUUUAAGGCCACUUAUAACUGUAACACACAGGAGAAGCCCAGGAGUAUUGUUUAAAACUAUUUUAGGAGCUCGAAUUGUUUAAACUUUAGCUGAAAGGAUUUAAUAGGCUUUCUCGUUUCUUCAUAUAACUACCAUUGUAAAGCCUUCAUCUCUAAUUAAAGAAACACAAUUAAUUUGUUAAAACACACUGGAUUUACCCACUAAAAGGAAAAACUGCAAUCCAUUUAAUAUCAGGG
rnacentral:lncRNA from 1 species